AUUGUUACAAUUAUCAUACUUCAAGUAAUCAACACCCCAGGAAGCAAAAGUUUUUGCGUCUUGUUCUUCGUGUCCUAAUGAACCUGGCAUUUGUUUACUACACGUCUGAGUCCCAGCAUCAGAAUAAACUCCAAGUUUUAAUCCUUUGCCGUGAACAUAAUCUGCCAGUGCUUUAAUCCCAGAAGGAAAAGUUGAACCUUUAGCAACCAUAUUUCCCUGCGAGUCUCUAUUGGCUUCGGCCCAACAGUCAUCUAUAUUGAUGUACUCAUAUCCAAGAGAAGCAAGUCCAGUAUGUACCAUUGCAUCAGCUGUCCCCUUUAUUAUGUUCUCAUCUAUAUUGCAACCAAAAUGAUUCCAGCUGCUCCAUCCCAUUUGCGGAGUUUGGCCAAGGCCAUUGCCCAAGAGGUUUCUCCGGUUGAAUUCAUUUACACUUAAAUUUGAAUUAACGAUGAGAUUUCGUGGCUGCAGACGAGCAUAUACCGUAGCCAGAGACAAACACAAGCAGCACCACAACAGAAGUGGUGAAGUUGAUGACAUCGUUUUUCCGAUAGGCUUUAGAGCUUUGGCUACGAACAAUAUUUAAAUGUUCAAGAGAGCCCCUUUUAAGUGAAAGGGGAAGCAAAAA
rnacentral:misc_RNA from 1 species